rnacentral:rRNA from 1 species
GUAGGUGGCAAGCGUUGUCCGGAAUUAUUGGGCGUAAAGCGCGCGCAGGCGGUUCUUUAAGUCUGAUGUGAAAGCCCACGGGCUCAACCGUGGAGGGUCAUUGGAAACUGGAGAACUUGAGUACAGAAGAGGAAAGCGGAAUUCCACGUGUAGCGGUGAAAUGCGUAGAGAUGUGGAGGAACACCAGUGGCGAAGGCGGCUUUCUGGUCUGUAACUGACGCUGAGGCGCGAAAGCGUGGGGAGCAAACAGGAUUAGAUACCCUGGUAGUCCACGCCGUAAACGAUGAGUGCUAAGUGUUACGGGGGUUUCCGCCCCUUAGUGCUGCAGCUAACGCAUUAAGCACUCCGCCUGGGGAGUACGGCCGCAAGGCUG